rnacentral:rRNA from 1 species
UGGCGGCAUGCCUUACACAUGCAAGUCGAACGCGAAAGCGGGGCAACCCGCAAGUAGAGUGGCGAACGGGUGAGUAAUACAUCGGAACAUUUCCAGUAGCGGGGGAUAACCUGCCGAAAGAUAGGCUAAUACCGCAUACGACCUAAGGGUGAAAGCGGAGGACCGCAAGGCUUCGCACUAUUGGAGUGGCCGAUGUCGGAUUAGCUAGUUGGCGGGGUAAAAGCCCACCAAGGCGACGAUCCGUAGCUGGUCUGAGAGGACGAUCAGCCACACUGGAACUGAGACACGGUCCAGACUCCUACGGGAGGCAGCAGUGGGGAAUUUUGGACAAUGGGCGCAAGCCUGAUCCAGCCAUGCCGCGUGAGUGAAGAAGGCCUUCGGGUUGUAAAGCUCUUUCGGUGGGGACGAAAAGGUUCGCGCUAAUACCGCGGACUAAUGACGGUACCCGAAGAAGAAGCACCGGCUAACUACGUGCCAGCAGCCGCGGUAAUACGUAGGGUGCAGGCGUUAAUCGGAAUUACUGGGCGUAAAGCGUGCGCAGGCGGUUUUGUAAGUCUGACGUGAAAUCCCCGGGCUCAACCUGGGAAUUGCGUUGGAGACUGCAAGGCUAGAAUCUGGCAGAGGGGGGUAGAAUUCCACGUGUAGCAGUGAAA